UGAAGUUUGUCCCUUACGUGACACCGUAGUUGGGUUAUUCAUGCUGUGCGGGACGCCGUCUUGGUUAAAUGUUUUCAUGCAUUUACUGUAAGGGUGACGGAGCCAGCAGCCAGUGUAGAGGACCAGAGGUGAAAGCUCUCAAUGUGUGCCAAUAAAGUGUCUCCAGGUCUCAGCCACAAUCCAGAACUCCUGUCUCCAGUGCUUCUCUUCCCUCCCCGCGCAUACACCCUAUCACAACCAUGAACACAACGCAGAGUCUCUGGGUGUGUAGGGAGGCUUCAGCACGUCCAGUGGGUUACAUGUACAUUGGUAGACAUAGUCUGAUUUGUAUGAAACCAAAUUGUUGGGGCUGCUGUUUUCAAUACUUAACCAAUCAGUAGAGUUACUAGAUCAUAUCAUAAUUUGAAGACACCCUUCUUUAUUAGUAGGCCUAGAAGGAAUCGGUGUGGACAGUGUGGACGAGCGGCCCCAGAUGUCCCCUUCAUCAGCUCCAGCAGGACCAUCAAAGACAGUUUACUGUCCUGAAGAUGAGCAGCCUUACAGCUACAUUUGUCAUGUUUGAUAGUUACAUUGUAGCAUGGUUUGUCUUUCUCAAGGACUCUAAUAAACUAAUAUUCACAGGACAA